CAGUCGCCGCGGUAAUACGAAGGGGGCUAGCGUUGUUCGGAAUCACUGGGCGUAAAGGGUGCGUAGGCGGAUUCUUAAGUCAGGGGUGAAAUCCCGAGGCUCAACCUCGGAACCGCCUUUGAUACUGGGGAUCUUGAGUCCGGAAGAGGUGAGUGGAACUGCGAGUGUAGAGGUGAAAUUCGUAGAUAUUCGCAAGAACACCUGUGGCGAAGGCGGCUCACUGGUCCGGAACUGACGCUGAGGCACGACAGCGUGGGGAGCAAACAGGAUUAGAGACCCCGGUAGUCCCUGUCUCUUAUAC
rnacentral:rRNA from 1 species